UGACUCAAUAAAUCACAUGAAUGUGUGAAUAGGACAUUAGUCCUCAUUAUCAGAGAUAGGAAAAAUGCUUUGAGUACAAUGGUACUUCUGAACAAUUGAUGUGAAAUGUGAUCUGUUUGAUGAUAUACUGAAUAAUUGUGACUUAGAAAUUUAUGUUCCCUCUAGGAACAGAAUCAAGUGUGACAACCUGAAAUUGAAACUUAUAAUUAAAUAAUGACACUGUAAUACCUAUUAAUGUUUAAUUGUACUUAUGUGCCCUUAUAUUGCCUAGACACGUGUGUCAGA
rnacentral:misc_RNA from 1 species